rnacentral:rRNA from 1 species
AGUAGCGUGCAGGAUGACGGCCCUAUGGGUUGUAAACUGCUUUUAUAAGGGAAUAAAGUGAGUCUCGUGAGACUUUUUGCAUGUACCUUAUGAAUAAGGACCGGCUAAUUCCGUGCCAGCAGCCGCGGUAAUACGGAAGGUCCGGGCGUUAUCCGGAUUUAUUGGGUUUAAAGGGAGCGUAGGCCGGAGAUUAAGCGUGUUGUGAAAUGUAGACGCUCAACGUCUGCACUGCAGCGCGAACUGGUUUCCUUGAGUACGCACAAAGUGGGCGGAAUUCGUGGUGUAGCGGUGAAAUGCUUAGAUAUCACGAAGAACUCCGAUUGCGAAGGCAGCUCACUGGAGCGCAACUGACGCUGAAGCUCGAAAGUGCGGGUAUCGAACAGGAUUAGAUACCCUGGUAGUCCGCACGGUAAACGAUGGAUGCCCGCUGUUGGUCUGAAUAGGUCAGCGGCCAAGCGAAAGCAUUAAGCAUCCCACCUGGGGAGUACGCCGGCAACGGUGCAACUCAAAUGAAUUGACGGA